UCUAUAAGACUUGAAAUCGACUUGUACGUGUAUUAAGUUUCAAAUAAAGAAUAAAUAAAUAAUAUUAAAUUUAAAUUAAACAUCGGUAACAUCGGCCGUUAGGGCAAUUUGCAUAGGCGAGACGUUGUAGUAUUUUGAAGACAGAAAGCGUGCGAACAGCGAACAUUUUUAUCAAGGGGACCGCCGAAUUAAUUAUUUCUAGGGUCGGCAGACUAAAGCACAUAAGUCAAAAUUUUCAAUUUAUUUUUUAUUACAUCAUCGGUUUACAUUUUGCUCAACACACAAUCUGACUAAAGCACAUAAGUAAAACUCAAGUAUUUCAUGGCGUAUUCAAGCGGCGUUCUGUAUCAACCUUAUCAAAUCCUAAUAUAGUCAAACGAACUAAAAAACAUAACUGGACUUAUGUUCUAAGGAACACCAUAAGUACAAAGUUAUUAACGUAAGAAGUCUGACUUAUGUUAUAAAGAACAUCAAAAUGUAACAUUUCUUUAGAGAAAGUGGUUACUUAAAAAUAUUUAUAACGUAAACAAUACUUCGGUAAGUGGUUUUAAUUUACUAAUGUUGUCGAUUGUGCACAGUUUGUUGGUUAGUUGUGUGUGAGUGCUUAAGUAUUUUAAUUAUUUAAGAUGAAUAUUCAAAGAGGCAAGAAAUUCGUUGAAAUGGUGUUAUCCACUCAUCUGGAAAGCAAUGAAGAAAAUGUAAAUCAGCAGUCGGUUUUGAACACAGAGAACCUAGUAGUAGACGAUCCUAUACCGUCAACAUCAUCAGGUCAAGUCAGUAGUUUAACAUACUAUUCUGUACUUGACUUCUCUAGUUAUGAUUCUGUACGAGAUCCAUGUUAUGAAUUACCGAGACUUCCAAUCACAUCGAGUUCAAGUACUUGUGAUGAAAUUUCAAUGAAUCCUAAUGUGUCUCCAAAAAAGAGUAUACGUACUAUAAAAAGAGAGAAAAAAAAUACGUAACUUAGGACAGGCAUACAAAACUUUAAAGGGAAAUGUAUAUCAGAUCGCACUAUGCAAAAAAAAUUUUAGGAAAAACAAAAAAAAGGCCGCUGAGUUUGUUUCGCCAGUUCUUCUCAGGACUGUGGUUUUUUUUGGAACCGGUGGUAGAGUUAACAUUGUUAUUUAUAUUUUGACAUUCAACAAGUGUGUUAUACUGACAUCUAAGUUGAAAUAAAUGAUUUUGAAUUUGAAAGAGUUUGCAGAAUGAAAUGUAAAGAACGUAUACCUUAACUGAUAGGCAUGCCAUAUUUACAGAAUAUUGGCAAAUGGGGUCAUAUGCAAAAAGAUCUGUAUACUUGGCGUCUUUAAUGGAAAUUCAAGAUAAAUCUAAGAAAAGAAUACGAGCUAUUGAACCUGAAAAGCAAAAGCUUAGAAUGAAGACAUAAAAAUACUUUUUUACUGUGCAUGGUAAACGUGAACCUGUCUGCCGAGUAUGUUUAAUGAAACCGUUAGAUGAAAGUGACAAUUUUAUAAAGACAGUUGCUAUGAAAAGGAGAUCAUCCAUAGGGGGUUCUCAAACUGAUGAUAUAAUAUCUAUACAGCCAUUACCCAUAUCCAUCGAGAAAAAAAAAAGAUUUAAUUUCGCUGCUCCCUUUAAUACUAGAUAUUUUCCAUGAAUUUUAAAUAAGUCUUCCCACGUUGGAAACUUUACGAAAUACUGAUCCAGAUAUUUUAGAACUCGAUGAAGAAGAAGAAUUUUAAUUAAACAUUAAGUUGUUAUUUAUAUUUAUGACUUAUAUUAUUAUAAUAUAUAUCUUAA